GACGAACGCUGGCGGCGUGCUUAACACAUGCAAGUCGAACGGAAAGGCCCUGCUUUUGUGGUGUGCUCGAGUGGCGAACGGGUGAGUAACACGUGAGUAACCUGCCCUUGACUUUGGUAUAACUUCAGGAAACUGGGGCUAAUACCGGAUAGGAUCUCCUGCUGCAUGGUGGGGGUUGGAACGUUUCGGCGGUUGGGGAUGGACUCGCGGCUUAUCAGCUUGUUGGUGGGGUAGUGGCUUACCAAGGCUUUGAAGGGUAGCCGGCCUGAGAGGGUGACCGGGGACAUGGGGACUGAGAGACGGACCAGACGCGUACGGGAGGCAGCAGGGGGGAAUAUUGCACAAUGGGCGGAAGCCUGAUGCAGAAACGCCGCGUGCGGGAUGACGGCCUUCGGGUUGUAAACCGCUUUCGCCUGUGACGAAGCGUGAGUGACGGUAAUGGGUAAAGAAGCACCGGCUAACUACGUG
rnacentral:rRNA from 1 species